UCCCAGGUGGCUCAGCAGGUUCAGAACCUGGUGUUUUCACUGCUGUGGCUCAGGUUCCAUCCCUGGCCUGGGAA
rnacentral:tRNA from 1 species